UGCCUCAGUACGGCGAGUGAGCGGCAAAAGCUCAAAUUUGAAAUCUAGCACUUUCAGUGUUCGAGUUGUAAUUUGAAGAAAGUCUCCUUGAAUAGUCCUUUAUCUAUGUUCCUUGGAACAGGACGUCAUAGAGGGUGAGAACCCCGUAUGAUUUUGGAUCCUAUUCUCUGUGGGAGUCUUUCGAAGAGUCGAGUUGUUUGGGAAUGCAGCUCUAAGUGGGUGGUAAAUUCCAUCUAAAGCUAAAUAUUGGCGAGAGACCGAUAGCGAACAAGUACAGUGAUGGAAAGAUGAAAAGAACUCUGAAGAGAGAGUGAAAAAGUACGUGAAAUUGCUGAAAGGGAAGGGCUUGAGGUCAGACUUGGUGUUUAAUGAUUAUCUUCUUUUCUUAAGUUGUGCACUCGUUUUUCACUGGGCCAAUAUCAGUUUUUGUAGUAGAGCACCUCUUGAAAUGUGAUUUCCUUCGGGGAGUGUUAUAGUCUUGAGACGAUCUACUACGGGGACUGAGGACUGCGCGUUAUGCUAGGAUAUUGGCGUAAUGACCUUAAGCCGCCCGUCUUGACCC
rnacentral:rRNA from 1 species